AGUGGCGGACGGGUGAGUAACACGUAAGAAUUUGCCUUUAGGAGGGGGACAACAACUGGAAACGGUUGCUAAUACCCCAUAUGCUUUCGAGUGAAAUGGAUUUCCGCCUAAGAGAAGCUUGCGGCUGAUUAGCUUGUUGGUAGGGUAAUGGCCUACCAAGGCGACGAUCAGUAUCUGGUUUGAGAGGACGAUCAGACACACUGGAACUGAGACACGGUCCAGACUCCUACGGGAGGCAGCAGUAGGGAAUUUUCCGCAAUGGGCGAAAGCCUGACGGAGCAAUACCGCGUGAGGGAUGACUGCCUAUGGGUUGUAAACCUCUUUUUUCAGGGAGGAAUAAAUGACGUGUACCUGAAGAAUAAGCAUCGGCUAACUCCGUGCCAGCAGCCGCGGUAAGACGGAGGAUGCAAGUGUUAUCCGGAAUCACUGGGCGUAAAGCGUCUGUAGGUGGCUCGGCAAGUCAACUGUUAAAUCUUGAAGCUCAACUUCAAAAUCGCAGUCGAAACUAUCGAACUAGAGUAUAGUAGAGGUAAAGGGAAUUUCCAGUGGAGCGGUGAAAUGCGUAGAGAUUGGAAAGAACACCGAUGGCGAAGGCACUUUACUGGGCUAUUACUGACACUCAGAGACGAAAGCUAGGGUAGCAAAUGGGAUUAGAUACCCCAGUAGUCCUAGCUGUAAACAAUGGAUACUAGGUGUUGAA
rnacentral:rRNA from 1 species